UUGCACGCUGGCGGCAGGCCUAACACAUGCAAGUCGCGCGGAUGAAGGGAGCUUGCUCCUGGAUUCAGCGGCGGACGGGUGAGUAAUGCCUAGGAAUCUGCCUGGUAGUGGGGGAUAACGUCCGGAAGCGGGCGCUAAUACCGCAUACGUCCUGAGGGAGAAAGUGGGGGAUCUUCGGACCUCACGCUAUCAGAUGAGCCUAGGUCGGAUUAGCUAGUUGGUGGGGUAAAGGCCUACCAAGGCGACGAUCCGUAACUGGUCUGAGAGGAUGAUCAGUCACACUGGAACUGAGACACGGUCCAGACUCCUACGGGAGGCAGCAGUGGGGAAUAUUGGACAAUGGGCGAAAGCCUGAUCCAGCCAUGCCGCGUGUGUGAAGAAGGUCUUCGGAUUGUAAAGCACUUUAAGUUGGGAGGAAGGGCAGUAAGUUAAUACCUUGCUGUUUUGACGUUACCAACAGAAUAAGCACCGGCUAACUUCGUG
rnacentral:rRNA from 1 species